CCCGGGCCUUGUACACACCGCCCGUCACACCAUGGGAGUUGGUUUUACCCGAAGCCGGUGCGCUAACCCGCAAGGGAGGCAGCCGACCACGGUAAGGUCAGCGACUGGGGUG
rnacentral:rRNA from 1 species